rnacentral:rRNA from 1 species
UACGGAAGGGGGCUAGCGUUGCUCGGAAUCACGUGGCGUAAAGCGCACGUAGGCGGAUUGUUAAGUCAGGGGUGAAAUCCUGGAGCUCAACUCCAGAACUGCCUUUGAUACUGGCGAUCUCGAGUCCGGGAGAGGUGAGUGGAACUGCGAGUGUAGAGGUGAAAUUCGUAGAUAUUCGCAAGAACACCAGUGGCGAAGGCGGCUCACUGGCCCGGUACUGACGCUGAGGUGCGAAAGCGUGGGGAGCAAAUAGG